rnacentral:rRNA from 1 species
AGCGAACGCUGGCGGCAGGCUUAACACAUACAAGUCGAGCGGGCAUAGCAAUAUGUCAGCGGCAGACGGGUGAGUAACGCGUGGGAACGUACCUUUUGGUUCGGAACAACACAGGGAAACUUGUGCUAAUACCGGAUAAGCCCUUACGGGGAAAGAUUUAUCGCCGAAAGAUCGGCCCGCGUCUGAUUAGCUAGUUGGUGAGGUAAUGGCUCACCAAGGCGACGAUCAGUAGCUGGUCUGAGAGGAUGAUCAGCCACAUUGGGACUGAGACACGGCCCAAACUCCUACGGGAGGCAGCAGUGGGGAAUAUUGGACAAUGGGCGCAAGCCUGAUCCAGCCAUGCCGCGUGAGUGAUGAAGGCCCUAGGGUUGUAAAGCUCUUUUGUGCGGGAAGAUAAUGACGGUACCGCAAGAAUAAGCCCCGGCUAACUUCGUGCCAGCAGCCGCGGUAAU